rnacentral:tRNA from 1 species
GGUUGUGGCUCAGCGGUAGAGCGCUUGUCUAGCAUGCAGGAGGCCCUAGGUUCGAUCCUCAGCACCA